AGUGAACGCUGGCGGUAGGCCUAACACAUGCAAGUCGAACGGCAGCACAGUAAGAGCUUGCUCUUACGGGUGGCGAGUGGCGGACGGGUGAGGAAUACAUCGGAAUCUACUUUUUCGUGGGGGAUAACGUAGGGAAACUUACGCUAAUACCGCAUACGACCUACGGGUGAAAGCAGGGGAUCUUCGGACCUUGCGCGAUUGAAUGAGCCGAUGUCGGAUUAGCUAGUUGGCGGGGUAAAGGCCCACCAAGGCGACGAUCCGUAGCUGGUCUGAGAGGAUGAUCAGCCACACUGGAGCUGAGACACGGUCCAGACUCCUACGGGAGGCAGAAGUGGGGAAUAUUGGACGAUGGGCGCAAGCCUGAUCCAGCCAUACCGCGUGGGUGAAGAAGGCCUUCGGGUUGUAAAGCCCUUUUGUUGGGAAAGAAAAGCAGCAGGUUAAUACCCCGCUGUUCUGACGGUACCCAAAGAAUAAGCACCGGCUAACUUCGUG
rnacentral:rRNA from 1 species